AGUGAACGCUGGCGGUAGGCCUAACAUAUGCAAGUCGAACGGCAGCACAGUAAGAGCUUGCUCUUACGGGUGGCGAGUGGCGGACGGGUGAGGAAUACAUCGGAAUCUACUUUUUCGUGGGGGAUAACGUAGGGAGACUUACGCUAAUACCGCAUACGACCUACGGGUGAAAGCAGGGGAUCUUCGGACCUUGCGCGAUUGAAUGAGCCGAUGUCGGAUUAGCUAGUUGGCGGGGUAAAGGCCCACCAAGGCGACGAUCCGUAGCUGGUCUGAGAGGAUGAUCAGCCACACUGGAACUGAGACACGGUCCAGACUCCUACGGGAGGCAGCAGUGGGGAAUAUUGGACAAUGGGCGCAAGCCUGAUCCAGCCAUACCGCGUGGGUGAAGAAGGCCUUCGGGUUGUAAAGCCCUUUUGUUGGGAAAGAAAAGCAGCAGGUUAAUACCCCGCUGUUCUGACGGUACCCAAAGAAUAAGCACCGGCUAACUUCGUG
rnacentral:rRNA from 1 species